UCCCAUGUGGUCUAGCGGCUAGGAUUUGUCGCUUUCAAACAUGCCAUGUGUUGAGAACCGACAAGGCCGGGGUUCGAUUCCCCGCAUGGGAA